GACGAACGCUGGCGGCGUGCUUAACACAUGCAAGUCGAACGGAAAGGCCUCUUUCGGGGGGUACUCGAGUGGCGAACGGGUGAGUAACACGUGAGUAACCUGCCCUUGACUUUGGGAUAACUUCAGGAAACUGGGGCUAAUACCGGAUAGGAGCUCCUGCUGCAUGGUGGGGGUUGGAAAGUUUCGGCGGUUGGGGAUGGACUCGCGGCUUAUCAGCUUGUUGGUGGGGUAGUGGCUUACCAAGGCUUUGACGGGUAGCCGGCCUGAGAGGGUGACCGGCCACAUUGGGACUGAGAUACGGCCCAGACUCCUACGGGAGGCAGCAGUGGGGAAUAUUGCACAAUGGGUGGAAGCCUGAUGCAGCAACGCCGUGUGCGGGAUGACGGCCUUCGGGUUGUAAACGGCUUUCGCUCAUGACGAAGCUUUGUGUGACGGUAGUGGGUAAAGAAGCACCGGCUAACUACGUG
rnacentral:rRNA from 1 species